rnacentral:rRNA from 1 species
GACGAACGCUGGCUGCGUGCCUAAUACAUGCCAGUAAGACGCAGUUGCGAACGGGUGUGUAACGCGUAGGUAACUGCAUAUUAGCGGGGGAUCACUAUUGGACACGAUAGCUAAUACCGCAUACUAGUAGAUGGACCUGCGGUGUAUUAGCUAGUAUGUAUGGUAAUGGCCUACCUAGGCGACGAUACAUAGCCGACCUGAGAGGGUGGUCGGCAACGCAGGGACUGAGACACGGACCAGGCGUCUGAGGAAGGCAGAAGUAGGGAAGCUUCGGCAAUUGGGGGAACCCUGACCGAGAAACGCAGAGUGUGUGAAGAAGGAGUGCGGAUCGGAAAGCACUGUGGUGAUGGAAUCGGUACUUAACCAGAAAGGGACGGCUAACUACGUGCCAGCAGCCGCGGUAAUAC